rnacentral:ncRNA from 2 species
AAUAUCCAUAUACUUUAAGGAAUGAAAAGGGAAUUUGGUGAAAAUCCAAGACUGUACCCGCAGCUGUAAGCUUUCGUUUUCUUCGGAAAACAAUUUUGUUACAAUGAGCCACUGUUUAUGAGGAAUGGGAAGGAGUAACAAAAGAAAGUAAGUCAGAAUACCUGCCUGAAGAAGUACUGAGAA